GGCAAAUUCUUGCCCUCCACCUAGGCCCUUGAUUUGGUGGGGACAAUAAUGGAUGGCAUGCUUUCUGCCAGCCCCAUGUGUGCCACAGCAGCAGGCCACUGGUUCUGUGCAGUCCUGAGGGAGAAUGGAGAUGCCCUUCUGAAUGAGGUGCCGGACAUCCUGUCCACUAUCUUUAUACGGAUGCCAACAAUGCAGGAGAGGUCCAUGCGAGGCUUCCUGUUAGAAGGCGUUGGCAUUCUUGCCAUGUUUCACCUAGAGGCAGUGAUCACCAGCCUCCUUGCCAAGCCUCUGCCAAUGGACAGUUGCAGUGACACCUCUGAGCUCUGGAGGGCCUUGGGGAGGGAUGAUGUCUCCACCCUCCAUAUACUCCGUUUGCUUCUGGAGAAGAUCCAAUAUCCAGCUGGCACAGAGGGUAGCCCAUCUGAGGGCACUGCAGCCCUGGGACCUCUCGCAGUGUCCUGUCCCAAGCGCAGCUACUCCAGUCUGGCCCAGGGGUGGUAAAGCCUGGAGAGACCCUCACCCUGACCUGCACCAUCUCUGGAGAAUCCAUCGCUACAAGCAGCAGAUGGUGGCAUUGGAUCCGGCAACCUCAAGCAUCAGGGCUGGAGUGGAUGGGGUAUAUUAACUACAGUGGCGGCACCAUCUACAGCUCAGCCCUACAGAGCCGAAUUUCCAUCUCCAGAGACACCUCCAAGAACCAGGUCUCCCUGCAGCUGCACUCCAUGACGGUCGCAGAGACCGCCAUGUAUUAUUUUAUCAGGGACAUCACACAGUGACUCAGAGCAGGGCAGGGGCUGUGCAAAAAGGGGAAGUGGAGUCUGUACAGCAAAUCACACCAGCUUCCAACUGACAGCCAAGUCCCUUCACAAACACAUCCCACUGAAGACUCCCCUGUUUCUGUGCAAGCAUUGCCACCUGAGCUCCUCACCGGGAACCUUUUACUCAAAUAGGCAUGCUAAAACUGGGACAGACUUUCACCGUGACCUGCAGAGUCACAAGUACCUCUGCCAGGAGCAGGAUCUCUGGCAGCUGCCUUGGGAAGGAGCUGUGGCAGAUGGGGUCUUGAUGUACAGGGACCGUACACUCCUUCUCUGCAGAGCACAAUCAUCAUGUCCACAGACUCUUCCAGCAACCAGUUCUUGCAGCUAUGCUCCCUGACACCUGCAGAUACUGCCAUGGAUCACUAUGUUGGUAAUAGUGUUGCGAGGACACAGAGCAGAGCUUGGCUGGGCACAGAUGGAAGGGGAUUCUGCAUGAGCAGCUUUCUUUCUCAGUGGAUAUUGGGGCCAAGCCGUGUAUCAUUCCCUGCUGGAUCCACUGCUCCUGCGGAGGGACCACAGCUGGGGAAUGUAAUUAGUCCCAUCAUUAGCUCACCAUGGGCUGCUUCUAGUGGGGUGGGCCUGCCCCAUCUCAGCCUGCAAUGGGCAGGACUGGUUUAUUACAGAAGAGAAAGUGCUUUGCCUCCUGCAUUCCCAAGGUCCAACCUCCACUUCUACAAAUACAUUCCAGUAUGGGGCAGAGACUGCCAGAUGAGAUGAGGGCAGGUCACAUUUAGGCAGGGACUCAGAGCUGGAAGCACUUUCCAUGGAGUCUUCACUGCAGGACACAGCCCCCUCCCUCCCGGUGCGAGACACAGGCCAACAGAGGGAUCCUUAAACCUGUCCUUGGGAACCCCCACCCUCUCUGCUCAACCCUUCUGGAGGCCACAGACACAGCUCAGGGUAGGCACUGGGGAUGCAGGCCAUGCCCUGGCUAUCAGGAGGCCUAGGUUACACUGAGGCAGGAAUUACGCCCGACAGAGUGCUUCUCUCUGCUGAGACUCUCCUGCUCAGGGAGAGCAACAGCAGACACAACAGGCCAGGAGGCUCCUCCUGGCUCCCAGGAUAGUGCUGUGCCCUCAACCCCUUUGCCUCCUUGCCUUGAGACACCCACACCCUAUCAGGGCACAUGUACAGACCAAGGUUCCCUCUAAGGUGCACGCAUGCAUGGCCACGCACAACUAAAAGUUGUGCCCCCUUUGAUAAGUGUCCCACGCUGGACCGAGGCAGCACGCUCACGGACCGAGGCAGUGCGCUCAUGGACCGAGGCUGCGUGCUCACAGACUGCUACUCCUUAGAGGGAGCAUUGGUACAGAUCUGAGCCCAACAACCAGGGUGGGGAGGAGACACCCUUCCUAUAGGGACAUCACCCCUGCAGAGUGCUCCCAACCUGACCCCCGCCACCUCUUACCCUCCACGGUAAUCCCUGCUUGGGGGCUACUAGGUAAAUGCAGACCCUGGGUUCUGGAGCCUCAGUCCAUGCCCAGCCUCUGCCCUGGCCCCUCCUGCCUGCUGGGGACUCUCCCCCACCCCAUUGACACAGGAAUGCAGCCCUCCUUCAUUUCUUCUCUCUUCUCUUGUCUGCCCCUACCUGCAGUUUCAAAUAAAGUAUCCGGUUAUAUCUUUCAGUCAGUCAGAUAAAAUAAACUAAGUCUUAUACUUAUAAAAGGAAUGUAGGGAGUGCUUACCGCUGAGAAGACAUUACUUGUCCAGGCUAGGGAACACUGAGACCCGUUAAGUGAGAUUUUUUAAUUAGGAUCUCUUACCUCUGAGUUUUGGCGCCACGGGUGUCAGUUGUGUCCCCAGACUGUUCAAGCUCCCAACUCGGUUGGCCUUCCAGACUGCGUCCCCACUUUGUCGACCCAUGUUCAUUGUGGCAUCAAUGAUGACUCCAAGAUCCUUUUAAGGGAGACAUAUCUUGUUGAUCAUUUUAGGAACAGGAUGCCCAAAGAAAAGGAUCACCCAGAGGCACCCCUUGGAAAUGGCCAGUUCUUAGCUUUUCAGGCAAAAAAGGAGUGAAAGGUAAGAACUGGCCAUUUCCAAGGGCUGCCUUAACUCUGAAAAUGUUGAGAACCACUGCUCUACAGGUUGAACCAAAGCACUUUGGACUUUACUCUGUGAACCUUCACUGCCUGAACUAAACCCCCCUGUUGUGUAACAGAUGGAAAAGGUCAAAAUAUUUUCAUCAAAGCACAGGUUUUCAUCAGAAAAAAAAAAAGUUGUUCCAAUGGCCUGGAAUAGUGUGCUAAAUAGUAUUGAUUUUGAAGAAAAUCCUCGUGGGGGAAAAAUUCCUAAGAAAAAAAAUUCUGUUUCAUUUUGUCAAAUUCUGACUUUUGGCUUUAGAAUUGUGUUCAUUUGUUUCAGGUUAUCUUAGUCGUUUAGAUUUAUAUUUAUUACUGAUGUUGUAUCAAUGCUAGUGCAAUUUUAAUUUCAGAAGCAUUGAUGUCAGCUGCUAUUUUUGUACCUAUUGAAACAUUUUGAAACAUUUUGAUUUACAAAACAAGACAAUAACUGUCCCUGUUACAAUGAAAUAGCUUGAUCUGGAUCUUAGUGCUGUGCGGUUAGAACAAUCAACACAAACCUAUGUAGAUUAACCAGUACCUGCACCAAGAUCCUGUCUUCCUUAUCAAAGCUAAAUUAAACCAUGCAGAAAUGGCAAGGGUUCCACUUUAGAAGAUUCAAACACCAAACUAGGGAAACUGGGACAGUUUCCUGAUCUUACCCUGUUAAUAAAAAGAACCAGUUUUUCUCUAGUGAGUUGAACUGUUUCAGUUGAGGUGCCCAACUUGCGACCUCUUCAAGAAGCCAUGAACCUGCUGGGAUCUUAGCAACUAACUGCCCAGCUACCUGGUCACUUCUGAAAACCUCUGCAGAGAGCAGGAGCUGGCUACUUGGCUAACAGAAGAGUUCAGAAAACUCUACUGAUUGCAUGGGAUUUGCUCCACGUGAACAUCAACCUACAUGUCCUUUCUGUUAGAGCAGGUCAAAUGGCACUUUUAAAUCAACUCUGCUCCAUUCAAAAUGAGACGAUUUCCACACCUGCAGAGGAUUAGAUGCACAGGAUGGGCUCAGUGAGCUCUUGUCUUCCCCUAACUUGGCAGCUCUCAGCAUUAAAAAGGUAUUGUGACUUCUUGAGGCUGCAGUGCAAGACAUACAACUUUGAAGAACCCGCCACUUUACUUAAUUCUUGGCUUCGCCUGUGUCCAGGUAGUGAAACAAGUCCUCUCAGUUUCUGAUUUCCGCUUCUUUCCUCUCAGUGUAGACUGAGCCUCCCUUAGCAUCAAUAAUAUUUCCUGUCUCUGCUGGGGUUACCUCAAAGUAGUUGCCUUGACACAACUAGGUGUACUACUAUGAACACUUGAAAAAGGAAGUGGUCUCAUAUCAGGCUCUGUUGGCUCCUAAUGCCCGCUAUGAAUUGCUUGUCUUUCUAGCUUAGCGCAGGGGCUGGCAACCUUUUUACAGACAACACCUUCAGCUUUGCCAUGAAGUUUUCCAACCUUACACUAUCUUUCAUACAGCAAAUGAAGCUGUAAAUUAGCUCGGGAUGCAACACAUAGUAACAGGUUUUCAGAAAUUGCCUCAUAGGUGUGCGGGCCGGGAGCAGUCCGAGGCCCUCGGGGGUGCGCGGCGGGCUGUGGCCAGCAGCCCGGACAUGCCGGGUCGGGAAAGGCAGGCGACACGCUAGAAUUAGGCACGGACGCUUAAUGGUUGAUUCAAGAUUGUUUACUUACACCGAAGAUGGUCGCGGUGUAGGCUGGACAGUUUCCCAGGCAAAGCUUCGCUUAAGUCCCCAGUUUAAGGGCUCGGACAGAACUCUGGCACUCACACAGAGUUGUCGAGGCUCCGUGGAACUUUUUUGCACGCAGGGAAGAGGGAUACGUCAAGGAUUGCGAUCGGCGACGGGGAGAGGCUAGAGGCUGAUCAGACCCCUGUUACCUUCUUGAUAUUCACGCUGGGUCCAAUAGGCUCCACAGCGCUUAGAGAUCUUCACGAGACGUGAAGUCUCCUCCUCCUGAUGUUCGUGGAGUCCUCCAACUUGGGCGGAAACCACAAAAGCCUCUUAUAUGGCUAGCAAGCCAAUCGCUAGCUGCCAUGUAGGAAUAAUUUAGAACUGACCAAUAGCGGGGCACAAAUUAGAAUACAAAUGGCGGGAACUCCUUGCAACAUGCAUCUCUCUUCUGCAGCUAAGAAAUGCACCCUGCAAAGAAAGUUACAAAUGGCGGGAAAAUAAUUUAGCAGUGCCGAAGCACACACAAACAAAAAUCACAGCCUUUGGUUGUGACAAUAGGUAGGGACAGAAUUGAUACCCAAUAUGAUGCAUCUUUGCAAGCCAGAAAAGCGACGCAUGCUGUCAAGAACAAUGCCAUUUCUCAUCAUGUCUUCUGCUGUUGUGAAAGAUGCCUCCAGCCUGAAAUGCCUCAUUUUGUUUCUCAUUAAGGAUGGCAGAAUUUCUAAUAGCUUUCCUUCUCUCUCACUGUACAGCAUCAAAUAGCAAUGUCUUUCCCUGAGUAACCAUUUUUUAAAUAUUGGAGACACUUACCAACCCCGUAAUGUGCUAUUUGCUUCUGACUUAAAUUAUACUUUAUGCUGUAAGAACCUGGCAAGCAGUGGCCACAUUCUGCUUCAUCUAACAACUCUCUCAAUUGUUGACAAGGGAUAUUUAGCUGUGAAUCGUCUUCAUCUGUUUUGCCAUGAUAUUGUAUAUCUGUGUUGCAUUCCGGACCCCUUUGGUUAGCCACUCCUGUGGAAACUGUUGUGAAUGAGGUGGAAGGCCACAAGAAUAGGCAUGACUUGUUUGUAAAUAGUCCAGGAAGAUCCAGAAAAUACCAGGCUUAUUGCAAUUAUCCUCUUGUGUGAUCUGCUCAGCUAUUUGGUACCAAUCGCCCUCUUCUGUCCGGAAAUUCUGCGCCUCAUCAAUUACGAUGUGUUUCACUGGUUUAUAAAAGUUGUU